GUCGAGCGAACAGAUAAGGAGCUUGCUCCUUUGACGUUAGCGGCGGACGGGUGAGUAACACGUGGGUAACCUACCUAUAAGACUGGGAUAACUUCGGGAAACCGGAGCUAAUACCGGAUAAUAUUUCGAACCGCAUGGUUCGAUAGUGAAAGAUGGUUUUGCUAUCACUUAUAGAUGGACCCGCGCCGUAUUAGCUAGUUGGUAAGGUAACGGCUUACCAAGGCGACGAUACGUAGCCGACCUGAGAGGGUGAUCGGCCACACUGGAACUGAGACACGGUCCAGACUCCUACGGGAGGCAGCAGUAGGGAAUCUUCCGCAAUGGGCGAAAGCCUGACGGAGCAACGCCGCGUGAGUGAUGAAGGUCUUCGGAUCGUAAAACUCUGUUAUUAGGGAAGAACAUACGUGUAAGUAACUGUGCACGUCUUGACGGUACCUAAUCAGAAAGCCACGGCUAACUACGUGCCAGCAGCCGCGGUAAUACGUAGGUGGCAAGCGUUAUCCGGAAUUAUUGGGCGUAAAGCGCGCGUAGGCGGUUUUUUAAGUCUGAUGUGAAAGCCCACGGCUCAACC
rnacentral:rRNA from 2 species